rnacentral:misc_RNA from 1 species
CUUUUCCUCGUGUCCACCAUAAUGAAAGCUCGUGGAGAUUUGAAGGAGUACCAGGUGGUCGGGCGGAUGAUGCCCCGCCCCAGGGACAGGGUCCCCGCCCUGUACCAAAUGAAGAUCUUCGCCCCGGACAAGUGUACAGCUAAGUCCAGGUUCUGGUACUUCGUGUCACAACUGAAGAAGAUGAAGAAGACCCAGGGCGAAAUUCUCCAGUGUAAAGAGAUGUACGAGAAGCACCCCCUGGUGAUCAAGAAUGUUGGCAUCUGGUUGAGAUACGUGUCCCGUAGUGGAAUCCACAACAUGUACCGUGAAUACCGUGACCUGACAUCCGCUGGUGCUGUUACACAGUGCUACCGUGACAUGGGAGCCCGUCACAGAGCAAGAGCAUCAACGAUCCAGAUCAUCCGCGUGGAAGAAGUGGCAGCCUCAAAGACUCGCCGACCAAACAUUAAGCAGUUCCACGUAAGUACAGGCUAUAUCCAUUAUUAAAACUAAAGGGACUUACUCUAGGCUUUGUCAAGUUACCAAUUGCUUAUUGAGCACUAAGAAUUAUUCGUGCACACCAUAUAAAUGCAGUACCGUUACACACAUUUCUAAAUGUAGCAUUCAUGCCCCAUGAUAAUUGCAAAUUAUAAUGAAACUGCGAUCAGAAUUUCAAUUAUAUUCAAAAGUGGGAAUUCUGAUGCAAUUCUUAGGUUAUAGAUAACUGGGGGCCCAUUUAAUCUGGUGAGGUAAGAUAAGUCAUCAUAAAAAUGUAUCUUAUUCAAUAAAAGUCAGAAAAAAUUGUAAUACAUUGACUGCAAAUUGAGUAAUAGAUCUUUGAUGAUUGAUAACUUGGGGACCAAUAAAUCGCAUGGAGGUAGGGCAAGUUUUGAUAACCCCCAGUGAGACAGGUAAAAUUGGGAAUCGCUCUGGUCCACAAAUUUUCAUGCAUAGUUUAGUCGUUGUCCACUGGUAUUACAGGCAUUGCAUUGUUUUACAUGGACGGCUGCUUCACUAGAUGCUCACAGCUGCUCUCUGGUCCUGUACCCCCUCCCCCCAACUUCUACUACAGUCAAACUUCAUUAUCUCAAACUAGACGGGGCUGUUGAAAACUUUGAGAUAUCUUAGUAUUCGAGAUAUCGAGGAUAAAAUACUUAAAAAAUAGGUGGUUGGAACUUAAAAAUCACUUCAACAUAUCCAUUGUAUUCAAGAUAUCGGUGUUCAAGUGUAUGUGUAUUUACUGUUGUGUGUGUUCCUUCACCCUCUCACACUUCCAAGCCUUCAUCAAUUAAAAAGAAACCAAAUGACAAUUCAAAAAUCGCUGCAUUUUGUGAAAAAGAAACAGUUUUUUAACCACAUUCGUUUUUCUUGGCUAUAGAAUUUAGAAUUUAAAGAAAGAAAUUAAUAUCCUGGUCUACCUGAAUCAUCUAUAGUUUCUUUAUAACCUGGUGCUGGCAUUGAUAUUAAAGUUGUUGAUAUUUAUCAUUUAUAUUUACAGUGUUAAAUUUAUUACUAGAUUUACAUGCAUUGAUUUUCAUCUUUAAUAUUUACAACAUUGAUUUUUUAUCUGUAGUAUUUAUAAUGUGGAUAUUUAAGAUUUUUUUUGGUGUUUACAGAACAGCAAGAUUCGCUUCCCCCUGACUCACAGACUGAACAGGAAGCUACACAAGCCCAGGUUCACCACAUCGCGACCACACUUAACGUUCUAAAGCGGGACUGUAGGGGAACUGUGCUGUACAUACAAAUAAAAAAAAUUACAC